GGAUGUGAGGGUGAUCUGGCUGCGACAUCUGUCACCCCAUUGAUCGCCAGGGUUGAUUCCACUGGUCUGGCAGGCUAAGCGGGCAUCCCCUUCCUCCCUCACCGCUCCAAGUGCAUCCCUCCUGAAGCUGCGUGCUCUGGAAGAGGACGACCUUCCCGAUAGAGGAGGAGCGUUCUUUCGUCAAGGGUAUACGAGUAACUGCGCUCCCCUGCUAGAACCUCCAAACAAGCUCUCAAGGAAUGCAAACUUUGUUAACUAGAUGAUGUGACAAUUUAAAUGGUGACAAUUU
ensembl:misc_RNA 7SK 7SK RNA